UACAGAAACUCCUUAUGGUCCUAUUACGCAUCACGGCUUAUUUCUUUGGUUGAGUAAGAUUUCCAGCUGACACAUGGUAGUUUCUAGAAGUGCUUAACCUUGAGAGGCGGCAGGACAGCGACUGGCUCACAGCAUGCCCUGCGGCUCUUCUGAUCGGCAGAAGAGAGCUUUUUCUCCCCAACUGCUGCGGCCCUGACCUUCAUCAAUCAGCCCAACACCCCAUCCUUCAGCCAAAGGAACAGCAGAUCCUUAAGAAGCGGUUUUUUUCCUUGUUUUUCUCUUGGAAUGUUCCUACCACAAGAUCAAAGCCACGCUCAGAAAAAAAUCUCUGCGUGGUAUCUUCGCUGGAAUUUUUUUUCUCAGCACAAAACAAGAAAGAGCAGCAGCGUUGGCCCCGUGGUCAGAAGCUCUUAUCCCAGAGUUAAGAACCGCUGAUGACUCCACCGCUCCUCAGACCCCCAGCAUGUGCGUGGUGGGCACCCAUUUCCCGGCGCAAGACCCCCCAGGUGGAUGAUCCUACAUCGGGUCAGACUCUGGGGAAGGGCAGGCCAGUGUCACGCUCCCCUUCUGCCAAAC
rnacentral:lncRNA from 1 species